rnacentral:lncRNA from 1 species
CCACGGGUCUCCACUGCUCGAAUCAGCCCAGGGAGUUCUCCACCCCCCGUCUCUCGGGUCACGGAGCCUAGUGGUCAGCACCGUGUCUGGAACGUGGUGCUAAACUCAUGUUUGUUUUUUUCAUGGUUAAUUUGAUGAUGAGUCAGAAUCUGGAGUCUGAGGUCCACCGGGGUCUGCGGGUUGUAGUCAACCCACAGAUCUGUGAAUUCGAGAAAAAAAAGGUUUGCCCUUAUAAUUUUGGAAUGGCUUGUUAUGCAGCAUUAUGAUGGCAUCGCUGACUGAUACAUCUGGCUCGGGUUGCUUGGGCGGUGACUCUCAUAUUCGGCACUGCUGGAUCACCACCCACCUCUGUGUUUGCUGAAGCACCCUCCUCUUUAAAUUCUGAAAACGUGCCUCCCCGUGAACCUAGCAGACUUGACUCUAUUAACCUCUUUUCUAGAUAACUUCUGUGUUCCAUGGUGGAUGGGGCUUGUGAGCCUGCCAUAGGAAGCAGGAACCCCUGGGACCACAAAUUACUAAAGCAGGAAGUCCCUCUCCGUACCACCUUUCACCCCACUUUUCUGCUGCCUGUUAAGCCAAGAGAUUUAGGGUACCUCAGAGCUUUGAGUGAUUCGAAAUUUAUUUGGGGGAAGGACCCUGGGAAGGGUGACAUGUGGAAGAAGUUACUUCUAACCAGACGUUCGGCAUGGAUGAUGUCACCAAGGCAGAGGACGACAGAAGCCCGCCAGAUCAGCGCAGGACAUUUCCUCCAGGAAACAGUGAGUCUUGAUGUAUGGAGUGUUUGACUGGGUUAGGCACGAACACAACUUAGCUUUUCUUUUUAUGAAGGCAAUGAACAUUUAUAAAAGUCCACCCCUUCCACCCUUCACCUAACUUAUGAGUCAUUUAGCUCUAACCUUCUUAUGACCCGCAGCUUAUAGAGACCCAAGUCAUUUAAAACUCAAUCCAAAGCGAAACACGUUUCAGUCAUGGUAAAAUUAAUUCCCCCCUCUCUGCCUUGGGCCCGAGACCUCGUGGGGGGAU